rnacentral:rRNA from 1 species
AUUGAACGCUGGCGGCAGGCUUAACACAUGCAAGUCGAGCGGGGGAAGGUAGCUUGCUACCGGACCUAGCGGCGGACGGGUGAGUAAUGCUUAGGAAUCUGCCUAUUAGUGGGGGACAACAUCUCGAAAGGGAUGCUAAUACCGCAUACGUCCUACGGGAGAAAGCAGGGGAUCUUCGGACCUUGCGCUAAUAGAUGAGCCUAAGUCGGAUUAGCUAGUUGGUGGGGUAAAGGCCUACCAAGGCGACGAUCUGUAGCGGGUCUGAGAGGAUGAUCCGCGACACUGGGACGGGGAGACGGCCCAGAGUCCUACGGGAGGCAGCAGUGGGGAAAAUUGGACAAUGGGGGGAACCCUGAUCCAGCCAUGCCGCGUGUGUGAAGAAGGCCUUAUGGUUGUAAAGCACUUUAAGCGAGGAGGAGGCUACUCUAGUUAAUACCUAGGGAUAGUGGACGUUACUCGCAGAAUAAGCACCGGCUAACUCUGUGCCAGCAGCCGCGGUAA